GCCCGCGCAUGGUCGCCCGAGGGCCUUCUGCGUCUCAGCUUCCAGAGUCGAACCCUGGUCCCCCGUCGCCUCUGUGUGCGCUGGAGGAGCUGACUAGUAAAGCGUUCCGCGGACUGGACGGGCACGCACCGGAGUCCUCUGAAGGUAUAGCGCCGGCAGGGGCGCGCACUUUGACGUGGCCUUCUCCCCAUCUCUCUCCUCCAGGUCCCGGUCUCGAACCUUCGUUCACCCCGGCUGCCACCCUAAUCUGCCCCCUGCCCUCGACCCACGUGCUGGGACUUGCGUCUCCCGCUCCUCCCCUCCCCCCCAUUAGUUCCCAGGUUCGCGGCCGCUCCUGGAGGCCGCCAGCGCCGAGGGGCAGGGCGGGUCUGUCGAAAGCUGAGGGACCCGGGCGUCCGUUCGCUGUAGGCGGGGCAAUCACGGCCGAGGGAGACCUGUGAGAAGGGGACAAAAGGCCUGAGCCGGAGGCUGUAAACGAGUGAGCGGUGCAGAAAGGUCUGGGAGGCGAGGCCCGGGCCUCUCCGCGGGACCUCGCGCCGCUCCACGCCGCUCUCUUCUGGAGAGGGCACAGGGGCAGAAGGUCCCUGGGGCGGCAAGGGUCGGGGGACUUCAGGCUUCGCCCCUCCUUACCCUUUGAUCCCCUAUACCUCCGUUUGGGGCUCGAGGAGGAGGUGCCGGGUCAUUAAAGAAGUGUAAACCGAGAGUGCCCAUCACGACCCAUGAGUCUUGAGAACGGUGUGGUCCGGGUCCUAUUACACGCAUCAUGCCCCUCUUUUGACCACGGUCGGCCCCGCCUAGGGUGCCGGCCCCAGCCUACAGGCCCGCUUCGCUGGGGCUCCGGAAGGCCUCAAAGGCCCCGCGCCAGAUGGCCUGACCCUGCGCCAGCUCUUCUCCGGCCUGUCUCGCUCUGCUCCCAUUCCCCGGCCCCCGCAGGAUGCCCUCAAGCCUGCUGCCUUCCAUACCCAAGUGGCCCGUUCCACUUCAUGUCCCCCGCUCCCACCUCCGCCUGAACCCCGGUUGGGCCGCUCCGCCCCGGGUGCGCUGGGCCCUGGCCGGGCCGGCCGCAGACGGCGAAAGUCACGCACGGCGUUCACGGCGCAGCAGGUGCUGGAGCUGGAGCGACGCUUCCUCUUCCAGAAGUACCUGGCGCCUUCCGAGCGCGA